rnacentral:rRNA from 1 species
UACGGGAGGCAGCAGUGGGGAAUAUUGCACAAUGGGCGAAAGCCUGAUGCAGCUAUGCCGCGUGUAUGAAGAAGGCCUUAGGGUUGUAAAGUACUUUCAUCGGGGAGGAAAAAACAAAACUAAUAAUUUUAUUUCUUGACGUUACCCGAAAAAGAAGCACCGGCUAACUCCGUGCCAGCAGCCGCGGUAAUACGGAGGGUGCUAGCGUUAAUCAGAAUUACUGGGCGUAAAGAGCACGUAGGUGGUUUUUUUAAGUCAGAUGUGAAAUCCCUGGGCUUAACCUGGAACUGCAUUUUGAAACUGAAAUACUAGAGUAUCGUAGAGGGAGGUAGAAUUCUAGGUGUAGCGGUGAAAUGCGUAGAUAUCUGGAGGAAUACCUGUGGCGAAAGCGGCCUCCUAAACGAAUACUGACACUGAGGGUGCGAAAGCGUGGGGAGCAAACAGGGAUUAGAUACCCGU